GGGGUUUCAAAGACUAGACAGAGAGCCUGGUGGGGCCGGCUAGACUCCGCCCUAGUCCCGAGUCAGUUCAACAGAAGAGUAGAACUAGGCCGGGGGUGAACGGGACUUUGUAUCAGGCGCCUACGGAGCGCGGGUAGGGCACGCAUCCUGGAGUCCUCCCCAAGGCCACUGCAGUCCCCCACCGGCUCUCCAUGUGCUCCCGGGGCCGCGGAGAGCAUCUGCCCCGUGGGCCCCUAUGGGAGACAGACAGGCCGCCCCCUCCAGGGGGUGGGACUGCCCUGUGCGCAGCUGCAGCCAGCUCCUGUCCGGCCGGAGGGUUUCUGGCCACCUCCGCCUUCUCCUCCUCCCCAGCAUCCGCCGCCGCAGCUGCGGCUUUCUCCCCCCCCCCCCGAAGUUGUCCCAGGCUCGGGCUCAGGGCGCCGCUUUUCUGGGUUCUGGUUCGACCCGUCCGAGGCCUUCCCCGCGCACGCGUGUCCGUGUCCCCCGUGGCGGGCUUGGCUGCCCCGAGCACGCCGCUGCAGGCCUCCGGGGCUUGACCAUUUCCCUUCAGGCCCCCCAGCUCUCAGCGAGGCUCAGUCUCUUGCACACCCACUGCUCACCUCGUCGCGUCCCAACACGGAAGACUCAGUUGCUUUAGGAGCAAUUAAAACACGUAGGGAGCAAAUGUGGCUGUAAUUACUGAGGCAUACGCUCACAAUUUCCUAGUAAGGUGAACUCAGGGUUCCUUCCAUCACUGCAUUCACAAGUGACUUUUUCUCUUCUUCUGGAGCCUGAUAGAACCCAGCUGAGGGCAUUAAGUAUACACUUUUAUCUCCACUGGGAUGACAUAUUAAUAAAAGGUAUGUCAAGUAAUCCUUUAUUUCCUUU
rnacentral:lncRNA from 1 species